GUAGAGAAAGACCGGGUGAAUUAGGUAGAGAGAGGUAGAGAAAGACAGGGCGAAUAGGUAGAGGUAGAGAAAGACAGGGUGAAUUGGUAAAGAAAGACUGGGUGAAUAGGUAGAGAAAGACAGGGUGAAUAGGUAGAGAGAGGUAGAGAAAGACAGGG